rnacentral:rRNA from 1 species
CCUACGGGAGGCAGCAGUGAGGAAUAUUGGUCAAUGGGCGCAAGCCUGAACCAGCCAAGUAGCGUGAAGGAUGACGGCCCUAUGGGUUGUAAACUGCUUUUAUAGGGGAAUAAAGUGCAGUAUGUAUACGGCUUUGCAUGUACCUUAUGAAUAAGGAUCGGCUAACUCCGUGCCAGCAGCCGCGGUAAUACGGAGGAUCCGAGCGUUAUCCGGCUUUAUUGGGUUUAAAGGGAGCGUAGGGGGGGUGUUAAGUCAGUUGUGAAAGUUUGCGGCUCCACCGGAAAAUUGCCGUUGAUACUGUCAUCCUUGAGUACAGUAGCGGUAGUCGGAAUUCGUGGUGUAGCGG